rnacentral:rRNA from 1 species
UGGGGAAUAUUGGACAAUGGGCGAAAGCCUGAUCCAGCCAUGCCGCGUGUGUGAAGAAGGUCUUCGGAUUGUAAAGCACUUUAAGUUGGGAGGAAGGGCAGUAAGCGAAUACUUUGCUGUUUUGACGUUACCGACAGAAUAAGCACCGGCUAACUCUGUGCCAGCAGCCGCGGUAAUACAGAGGGUGCAAGCGUUAAUCGGAAUUACUGGGCGUAAAGCGCGCGUAGGUGGUUCGUUAAGUUGAAUGUGAAAGCCCCGGGCUCAACCUGGGAACUGCAUCCAAAACUGGCGAGCUAGAGUAGGGCAGAGGGUGGUGGAAUUUCCUGUGUAGCGGUGAAAUGCGUAGAUAUAGGAAGGAACACCAGUGGCGAAGGCGACCACCUGGGCUCAUACUGACACUGGGGUGCGAAAGCGUGGGGAGCAAACAGG